rnacentral:rRNA from 1 species
UUUAUUUAUAUUCUUAUUUUUUUAAUUAAUUUAAAUUAAUAUUGACAAUCCAUAAAAAAAUCACUUAUAACGGUGACACAAAAUCGGAGGCCACGACUGUUUACUAAAAACACAACACAGUGCAAUCAUUAAUAUGAUAGUAUACUGUGUGAAAUUUGCCCGAUGCCAUUAAUAUAAGAGCGAUCAUGGUUUUCUGUGAUUAAUCGAAAAUCUGGUUAAUAGCGGUCUUAACUAUGAGGAUCCUAAGGUAGCAAAAUAAAUUGGCCUUUAAAUGAGGUCCGGUAUCAAUAAUGUAACGAUGGUCUCACUGUCUCUACAACUUGCUCAGUGAAAUUGAAUUACGCGUGCAGAUGCGCGUUGCCUUCAGGGGGACGGGAAGACCCUAUGCAG